UGGCAGCCAUUCUCAGUCCCAUGUCUUUCCAAGAUUUGCCCUCCACUGAAGAAAGCAGCCCUGCCCAAGAAGUCAACAGUAGGUCAAGAGGUGGAGCAAGCAACCAGUUGACAGGGAGUGAACAUAGGAAAAAAACAUAGAGUGAAAAGAAGUCAGAAGGAUGGAUAGAGAGACACACAGGAAGUAGAAAGGAGGGACAUUCAGUUUGGAAGAGUUUAUAAGAUAGUGUGGAAUGUAAACGAGAGGUCACCAUUAAAUCUCUCCCCUCAGAGCUCGAAGAAUCCCAUAGAAG
rnacentral:lncRNA from 1 species